AGUUUGAUCCUGGCUCAGGACGAACGCUGGCGGCGUGCCUAAUACAUGCAAGUCGAACGCUUCUUUUCCCACCGGAGCUUGCUCCACCGGGAAAAGAGGAGUGGCGAACGGGUGAGUAACACGUGGGUAACCUGCCCAUCAGAAGGGGAUAACACUUGGAAACAGGUGCUAAUACCGUAUAACAAUCGAAACCGCAUGGUUUCGUUUUGAAAGGCGCUUUACGGUGCCGCUGAUGGAUGGACCCGCGGUGCAUUAGCUAGUUGGUGAGGUAACGGCUCACCAAGGCCACGAUGCAUAGCCGACCUGAGAGGGUGAUCGGCCACAUUGGGACUGAGACACGGCCCAAACUCCUACGGGAGGCAGCAGUAGGGAAUCUUCGGCAAUGGACGAAAGUCUGACCGAGCAACGCCGCGUGAGUGAAGAAGGUUUUCGGAUCGUAAAACUCUGUUGUUAGAGAAGAACAAGGGUGAGAGUAACUGUUCACCCCUUGACGGUAUCUAACCAGAAAGCCACGGCUAACUACGUGCCAGCAGCCGCGGUAAUACGUAGGUGGCAAGCGUUGUCCGGAUUUAUUGGGCGUAAAGCGAGCGCAGGCGGUUUCUUAAGUCUGAUGUGAAAGCCCCCGGCUCAACCGGGGAGGGUCAUUGGAAACUGGGAGACUUGAGUGCAGAAGAGGAGAGUGGAAUUCCAUGUGUAGCGGUGAAAUGCGUAGAUAUAUGGAGGAACACCAGUGGCGAAGGCGGCUCUCUGGUCUGUAACUGACGCUGAGGCUCGAAAGCGUGGGGAGCAAACAGGAUUAGAUACCCUGGUAGUCC
rnacentral:rRNA from 2 species